GAUGAACGCUGGCGGCGUGCCUAAUACAUGCAAGUCGAGCGAACAGACGAGGAGCUUGCUCCUCUGACGUUAGCGGCGGACGGGUGAGUAACACGUGGAUAACCUACCUAUAAGACUGGGAUAACUUCGGGAAACCGGAGCUAAUACCGGAUAAUAUAUUGAACCGCAUGGUUCAAUAGUGAAAGACGGUUUUGCUGUCACUUAUAGAUGGAUCCGCGCCGCAUUAGCUAGUUGGUACGGUAACGGCUUACCAAGGCAACGAUGCGUAGCCGACCUGAGAGGGUGAUCGGCCACACUGGAACUGAGACACGGCCCAGACUCCUACGGGAGGCAGCAGUAGGGAAUCUUACGCAAUGGGCGAAAGCCUGACGGAGCAACGCCGCGUGAGUGAUGAAGGUCUUCGGAUCGUAAAACUCUGUUAGUAGGGAAGAACAAAUGUGGAAUUAACCAUGCACGUCUUGACGGUACCUAAUCAAAAAGCCACGGCUAACUACGUG
rnacentral:rRNA from 1 species